GCCGACGUCGCAUAAUCUGGUAUUGCGCCGGUCUUGAAAACCGGUUCCCUUGGGUAUCCCGGUUCAAAUCCGGGCGUCGGCG
rnacentral:tRNA from 1 species